rnacentral:rRNA from 1 species
GCGUGAGUGAUGAAGGCCUUAGGGUUGUAAAGCUCUUUCACCGGGGAAGAUAAUGACGGUACCCGGAGAAGAAGCCCCGGCUAACUCCGUGCCAGCAGCCGCGGUAAUACGGAGGGGGCUAGCGUUGUUCGGAAUUACUGGGCGUAAAGCGCGCGUAGGCGGUUCGGCAAGUUAGGUGUGAAAGCCCGGGGCUCAACCCCGGAACUGCACUUAAAACUGCUGGGCUAGAGGCCGAGAGAGGUGAGUGGAAUUCCCAGUGUAGAGGUGAAAUUCGU